rnacentral:lncRNA from 10 species
AUGUGACAAGGUACAUAUACAUUAGAAUUGCAUUUGGCUGCAUGUAACAGGGAUCUGACACCAAUGGCUUAACUAAAUAGGGGUGUUUGUUUUCCUAUGAUAAACAAUUUGGAGAUGAGCAAUCCAGGGCGGAUGCAGUAACUCUAUGAUGUCAUCAAUGACCCCAGCUUCAUCUGGAUCCCUGGGUGACUAUUCUUAGCAUGUGGCUUUUGUCCUCAUGGUCACCAGCUGUCUACUGCACAUCCAGGUGUCAAGUCUGCAUCUCAAGCAGGAGGAAGGAGGACAAGGAUAAGAGGCAAAAUGUGCCUUUCUCAUCCACCAGAAAAACAACAUUUCUCUGAAAGCCAACUUAGUAGACAUCCCCUUACAUCUCACUGACCUAAAUGCUGUUACGUGACCACUACUAGCUGCAAAGGAGCUGAGAAAAAGCAAGUCCUGUAGCUGGUCCCAUGGGUACCUUGAACAAAAUCAUGGUUCUAUUGUAAAGGAAGGCAGAGAGAGUGAAUGCUGUGUAGGUGCCUCUCAGGGCCUGCUGCCAUCAGCUUACAAGGCAUUUGGUAAACACUGCUCCGUCCUUGGCGUACAGAGCAAACGUCCUGCGGGGAUUGUUCCAG